rnacentral:lncRNA from 1 species
GUUUGAAAGAUAAUUUAAAUGAGAGAGAUAAGCCACUGAAUGGAAGACAAACUCAAACAGCAUGGGAAAAGAAAAACAAUGGAAAGGAUUUCGUCUUCAAAUAUUCAUAAUGGAUACAGUUUACCAGGCACAAUCUAAGGCACAAACACAGCUUCUGGAUAUAUUAGCAUUGCCCUCCUCCCUAUACCCCAUUUAUAUCACAAAGAUGCUAAGCUCCAUGUGAGGUGAGGAAAUGUGUAAAGUGAAUGUUAUAAAUGUUAACAGCAGCAGUUCAUAAAUCACCUAUUAAAGACUGGGACACCUAAGACACUGUGUGCUCUACAACAGUGCAAAAAAAAUCUCCAGUUUCUCUUCAGACAAACGAUUUUUCUCAAGAAAGACUACAAGCACUAUUUUUUGAGUAACCACAUUAAAAAAAAACCUAACUCCUGUCUUAACCAUUCUAAUUAAGCUACAGCUAUGCUUCCAGACCAAGAACAGGUACUCGCAGGUGGAGCUGCAACUCAGCAACAGAACAUGUAAAAUUUGAAGCCAUAACUUUGAGAACUUUGUUCCCCGUAAUGUGCUCAGGCAUUUCUGUGCAGCAUGUCUUGUCACCAUGCCUGCUGCUGCUCAAUGCACAGUCACGCAAGCUGACAAAUAGGUCAACAUCCUGAAGUGUAGUCUCAAAGGUGCUCAGAAUUCUUCCAGGUGAGCUUU